rnacentral:rRNA from 1 species
AGGACGAACGCUGGCGGCGUGCCUAACACAUGCAAGUCGAACGCGCUCCAUUCGGUAGCAAUACUGAUGAAGAGCGAGUGGCGAACGGGUGAGUAGCACGUGAGCAACCUGCCCCGAAGACUGGGACAACACCGGGAAACCGGUGCUAAUACCGGAUAUCCCUAUCGGACCGCAUGAUCUGAUAAGGAAAUGGAUUCCGCUUCGGGAGGGGCUCGCGGCCUAUCAGCUAGUUGGUGGGGUAAUGGCCCACCAAGGCAUCGACGGGUAGCUGGUCUGAGAGGACGAUCAGCCACACUGGGACUGAGACACGGCCCAGACUCCUACGGGAGGCAGCAGUGGGGAAUCUUGCGCAAUGGGCGAAAGCCUGACGCAGCAACGCCGCGUGGAGGACGAAGGCUUUCUGAGUUGUAAACUCCUUUCAGCAGGGACGAUAGUGACGGUACUGCAGAAGAGCACCGGCCAACUACGCGCCAGCAGCCGA